rnacentral:rRNA from 1 species
GAGAGCCUACGGGAGGCAGCAGUGAGGAAUAUUGGUCAAUGGGCGCGAGCCUGAACCAGCCAAGUCGCGUGAGGGAAGACGGUCCUAUGGAUUGUAAACCUCUUUUGUCGGGGAGCAAAAGACGCCACGCGUGGCGUUCCGAGAGUACCCGAAGAAAAAGCAUCGGCUAACUCCGUGCCAGCAGCCGCGGUAAUACGGAGGAUGCGAGCGUUAUCCGGAUUUAUUGGGUUUAAAGGGUGCGCAGGCGGAAGAUCAAGUCAGCGGUAAAAUUGAGAGGCGCAACCUCUUCGAGCCGUUGAAACUGG